GUGACUGGGCGUAAAGAGUUGCGUAGGCGGUUUGUUAAGUGAAUAGUGAAAUCUGGUGGCUCAACCAUACAGGCUAUUAUUCAAACUGGCAAACUCGAGAGUGGUAGAGGUCACUGGAAUUUCUUGUGUAGGAGUGAAAUCCGUAGAUAUAAGAAGGAACACCGAUGGCGUAGGCAGGUGACUGGACCAUUUCUGACGCUAAGGCACGAAAGCGUGGGGAGCGAACCGGAUUAGAUACCCGGGUAGUCCACGCCGUAAACGAUGGAUACUAGCUGUUGGAGGUAUCGACCCCUUCAGUAGCGAAGCUAACGCGUUAAGUAUCCCGCCUGUGGAGUACGGUCGCAAGACUAAAACAUAAAGGAAUUGACGGGGACCCGCACAAGCGGUGGAUCGUGUUCUUUAAUUCGAUGCUAAACGAAGAACCUUACCAGGGCUUGACAUCCAGGGAAUUUUUGGGAAACCAAUUAGUGCCUUUUGGAACCCUGUGACAGGUGAUGCAUGGCCGUCGUCAGCUCGUGUCGUGAGAUGUUUGGUUAAGUCCAUCAACGAGCGCAACCCUUGCAACUAGUUGGAUUUUUCUAGUUGGACUGCUUCGGUAACGGAGAGGAAGGAGGGGAUGAUGUCAGGUCAGUAUUUCCCUUACGUCCUGGGCUAGAAACACGAUACAAUGGCUAGUACAAUGCGCAGCAAAGCCGCGAGGUGGAGCAAAUCGCAUCAAAGCUAGUCCCAGUUCGGAUUGGAGGCUGAAACUCGCCUCCAUGAAGUCGGAAUCGCUAGUAAUCGCAAAUCAGCAAGUUGCGGUGAAUACGUUCCCGGGUCUUGUACACACCGCCCGUCAAACCAUGAAAGUCAGGAGCACCCGACGUCCGGAUUUAUUUCGGCCUAAGGUGAGCUUGGUGAUUGGGGUUAAGUCGUAACAAGGUAUCCGUACCGGAAGGUGCGGAUG
rnacentral:rRNA from 1 species